rnacentral:rRNA from 1 species
AACGAACGCUGGCGGCAUGCCUAACACAUGCAAGUCGAACGAGACCUUCGGGUCUAUUGGCGCACGGGUGCGUAACGCGUGGGAACCUGCCCUUAGGUUCGGAAUAACUCCCCGAAAGGGGUGCUAAUACCGGAUAAUGUCUUCGGACCAAAGAUUUAUCGCCUUUGGAUGGGCCCGCGUUGGAUUAGCUAGUUGGUAGGGUAAAAGCAUACCAAGGCGACGAUCCAUAGCUGGGCUGAGAGGAUGAUCAGCCACACUGGGACUGAGACACGGCCCAGACUCCUACGGGAAGCAGCAGUGGGGAAUAUUGGACAAUGGGCGAAAGCCUGAUCCAGCAAUGCCGCGUGAGUGAUGAAGGCCUUAGGGUUGUAAAGCUCUUUUACCCGGGAUGAUAAUGACAGUACCGGGAGAAUAAGCUCCGGCUAACUCCGUG